rnacentral:lncRNA from 1 species
GAUAAUCAUGGAUCUGGAAUGUACAUUGAAAGACCUUUCCAACGAUAUAUAGUUUGUAAAAUUCAGGAAAAAAAAGUUGCAGCUCCGCCGUGUACACGGUCGAAGAAGAUGAGCGGAACUACUGUUCCGGCGUCUGGUGUGGCGGCUAGGGUUAUGCAGCGAAACGCUGCGUUUUGUGUUGUGGCAAGACCCUUGGCCGAGCGGGU